rnacentral:rRNA from 1 species
AAUACGUUCCCGGGCCUUGUACACACCGCCCGUCACACCAUGGGAGUUGGUUCUGCCUUAAGUCGCCCAUAAAGCGCCCACGGCAGGGUCAGUGACUGGGGUG